rnacentral:pre_miRNA from 1 species
AUUAUACUCCCUCUGUUCCAAAUUUCUUGUCUUAGAUUUGUCUAGAUACGGAUGUAUCUAAUACUAAAAUGUGACUUGAUACAUCCGUAUCUAAACAAAUCUAAGACAAGAAUUUUGGGACGGAGGGAGUAUCAA